GCGGAUGUGGCGGAAUGGCAGACGCAGCAGACUCAAAAUCUGCCGGGUUCACACUCGUGCGGGUUCAAGUCCCGCCAUCCGCA
rnacentral:tRNA from 1 species